rnacentral:SRP_RNA from 1 species
GCUGGGCAUGGUGGUGCAUGCCUGUAGUCCCAGCUACUCAGGAGGCUGAGGCAGAAGAAUCGCUUGAACCCAGGAGGCGGAGGUUGCAGUGAGCCAAGAUCGCACCACUGCACUCCCACCUGGGCGACAGAGUGAGACUCUGUCUCAA